rnacentral:rRNA from 1 species
UACGUAGGGCGCAAGCGUUGUCCGGAAUUAUUGGGCGUAAAGCGCGCGCAGGCGGUCUUCCAAGUCAGUGGUGAAAGCCCGGAGCUCAACUCCGGAAUUGCCAUUGAAACUGUUAGACUUGAGUACGAGAGAGGUGAGUGGAAUUCCCAGUGUAGAGGUGAAAUUCGUAGAUAUUGGGAAGAACACCGGUGGCGAAGGCGGCUCACUGGCUCGUAACUGACGCUCAGGCGCGAUAGCGUGGGGAUCAAACAGG